CCAGUUGAUGAAGAUGAUUUGAUCUCGUACAUCAUCACCGGAUUGGAUGAGGACUAUGGUCCCUUCAUAUCUACUCUUAUUGCUAGAGUUGAUCCGGUGGAUCUGAGGGAGCUGAUCUCCCAGCUGCUUAACUUUGAGC
rnacentral:snoRNA from 1 species